rnacentral:lncRNA from 1 species
CUUCGUUGCUUCGGACAAGAUACUCAGGUUCAAUACAAGAAAUGCUCGAAGGCCUGCAUGUUCUUGCUAAAGCCUGGUAGGAAGGGUGCCUAGCGCUGGCAGCAGCUAAAGACUCUUGCCGAUGCGGCAGGAGACUUGUUUCCGUUCGCAGUGGCGGUUUGCUGGUAUACCCGUGAACGUCAAUUGCAACUUCAACGUCGCGGCAUACGGCUCUCUGAGAAUUAGAGUAUUUUCUCUGUCCGUCCUGCGCUGUGCCACGUCGAUCAGGUGUCGAAUUCGUUUCACCGGUGGAACCCGUCAGAUGAUGUGCCGAACUGUCGUCUGUCACAUCUGUUUUAUUGACAAAGCAGGAUUUUGUCUUCAGGUGCUUUUGCAGUGCCGCCUUAUGCCUGAACUGUUUUGUACCGAGAGGACAAAAUGGGCCUAUAAGGUAUUUUAAGGUGGUGCACCAUAUGAGAGAGCGACAGAGUCUCUUACACUCCCACAACGAUGGAAUCGGCGAUCCUCUGACAUCAUUCUGGAGGCUUUCGUUCAAGAGGCUAGUACGGAGGGGGCGAUAGCCGUUGGCGUAUACGGACUGAUCUCCAUCACCAGACCUGGUGUUAUUGGAAUCGUACUUUGUACUCCGCAGCGGCUUUCAACGGAAUCCUACCUAAGGCAAGAAGAUUCAAGAACAUCCGAGCUAUCGGAUUUGAUGAGCCCAUCGACCACCUGCGCAUACUCCGCUGUUAUCCGAACUGAAACCAGGCCCUACAGUUGAACUUACUUGAGUUCUUGCCGGUACGGCCUUCCCUAUUUUGUUCUCUUGAGUUCGUGCAACGACCUUCUUGGCAUGCGCCGAACCGACAUGCACCUUCUGCUGCCUUCUAGUAGUUUUGCUAGGUACUUUUGAUGGCGGCAGAACUUUGUUGGACGAAGCACUGGACAGAUGUUUUCUCUGUUGCGAUUGUUGACGCUCGCAUGCUCUUUCGGGUGAUCGU